rnacentral:rRNA from 1 species
UACGGGGGGAGCAAGCGUUGUUCGGAUUUACUGGGCGUAAAGGGCGCGUAGGCGGCCACCGCAAGUCGACUGUGAAAUCUCCGGGCUUAACCCGGAAAGGUCAGCCGAUACUGCGGGGCUAGAGUGCAGAAGGGGCAACUGGGAAUUCUCGGUGUAGCGGUGAAAUGCGUAGAUAUCGAGGAGGAACACCUGCGGCGAAGGCGG